UACGUAGGGUGCAAGCGUUGUCCGGAAUUAUUGGGCGUAAAGAGCUCGUAGGCGGCUCGUCGCGUCGGCUGUGAAAACCUGAGGCUCAACCUCGGGCUUGCAGCCGAUACGGGCAAGCUAGAAUUCGGUAGGGGAGACUGGAAUUCCUGGUGUAGCGGUGAAAUGCGCAGAUAUCAGGAGGAACACCGGUGGCGAAGGCGGGUCUCUGGGCCGAUAUUGACGCUGAGGAGCGAAAGCGUGGGGAGCAAACAGG
rnacentral:rRNA from 1 species